rnacentral:rRNA from 1 species
CGCACGGGUGCGCAACGCGUAUAGAACCUACCCUGUACAGGGGGAUAGCCCAGAGAAAUUUGGAUUAAUACCCCGUAGUAAAUAUAGAUGGCAUCAUUUAUAUUUUAAAGUUUUCGGGCGGUACAGGAUGGCUAUGCGUCCUAUUAGUUAGAUGGUGAGGUAACGGCUCACCAUGGCAGCGAUAGGUAGGGGCCCUGAGAGGGGGAUCCCCCACACUGGUACUGAGACACGGACCAG